rnacentral:lncRNA from 1 species
CCUCUCUUUCUUGCUUACUGACUUUGGUAUUAAUUCGUCUAAGAUUGAUUUCAGCAGUGUCUCGACCUGACCGGAAAGAUAAGUCAAUCGGUUCGGGAAGUAGUAGAGUACCUGUUGUCGGUACCAAGUAAGUAGUAGGAAGAAGACGGGCAUCUAUAAUAGGCAAAUGGCAUUUGUCAGAUCCCGCAAAUUUCAAGGUGAUAUUAAUGCUCGAAAAUCAAAUCUUAGAUUUACAAUUAGCAUUUUAAGGACUAAACUGUAACCAUGACAGGUGGUAUGGAGUGUUCCGCAUUGACCAAUACAGUAUCAAUACAGUACUGGGGCUCAAUAAACUUAGUACCAACACAUGAUAUUGGUUUUAUGUCGACUACAACAAUGUACCAUGUGUCAAUGUGAACCACCCUGUACCACCAAGAAGGUACCUCUACGGGACCUGAUACCAAGACUAAAAACAUUGCUUACAAUAAUAUCAAUAGAAACACGAGCCUAUUAUGAAAUUUUCCGUGUAUUCUUCACUUCCCUCCUACUUAUUAAUCAUACACAAGUAAGUCUAAUUUUAUGGAGUCAUUGCUAAUUUUAAGGACAAUAUAGCCAAUACCUAUAUGAGUUUGUUCGUGAUAUGCAUUGUAGAAAGGUACUUAUAUUGCUAUAUAGCAUAGUCUACCUCUCUGCUUAUAUCCUUAUGCAAUCUUAAAUGCAUUAAAUAUUAUUUCAAUAUUUAUUUCUUUAAUACUAUUAUAUUCUAGCAAUUAUAAUAUAUUAUAAUUACAUAAUAAUUCAUUGUACUUAAAAUUGUUUAUGAAUAUAUACUUCGAACAGAUAUAUUUAUCAUGUCAUAAGAUAACUUUCUAACAAAGAGAAAUUUCAAUCGAGCAACCCAUUCUAUGACAGGUCUCAACUUACCCCAUUCUUGUGCCUUAGUGGGCCCAGUAUUUCUAGCAAUUGAAAUGGCUUCUUUAUCUCUUCACAUCCAAUAUGGCACCACAUGUGAGUCAUGCCAAACAAUAAUAGUUAUCAUAAUAAAAAAUCUGAAUAAGACAGAACAUAAAAACCUAAAAAUCAAACGAAAUACAACAAAAUGAUAUUAAAUAAAAUAAGUCAUCAACUAACU